AGAGUACUCCCUCUGUUCGGAAUUACUUGUCGCAAAAAUAGAUUUAUCUAGACAUAUUUUAGUUCUAGAUACAUCCAUUUCCGAGACAAGUAAUUCCGAAAAGAGGGAGUAGAUA
rnacentral:pre_miRNA from 1 species